CCCUUAGAGUUUGAUCCUGGCUCAGGACGAACGCUGGCGGCGCGCCUAACACAUGCAAGUCGAACGAGAGAUGAGGAGCUUGCUCUUCAAAUCGAGUGGCGAACGGGUGAGUAACGCGUGAGGAACCUGCCUCAAAGAGGGGGACAACAGUUGGAAACGACUGCUAAUACCGCAUAAGCCCACGGCUCGGCAUCGAGCAGAGGGAAAAGGAGUGAUCCGCUUUGAGAUGGCCUCGCGUCCGAUUAGCUAGUUGGUGAGGUAACGGCCCACCAAGGCGACGAUCGGUAGCCGGACUGAGAGGUUGAACGGCCACAUUGGGACUGAGACACGGCCCAGACUCCUACGGGAGGCAGCAGUGGGGAAUAUUGCACAAUGGGGGAAACCCUGAUGCAGCGACGCCGCGUGGAGGAAGAAGGUCUUCGGAUUGUA
rnacentral:rRNA from 1 species